UACGGGGGGGGCAAGCGUUGUUCGGAAUUACUGGGCGUAAAGGGCUCGUAGGCGUCCAACUAAGUCAGACGUGAAAUCCCUCGGCUUAACCGGGGAACUGCAUCUGAUACUGGAUGGCUUGAGUUCGGGAGAGGGAUGCGGAAUUCCAGGUGUAGCGGUGAAAUGCGUAGAUAUCUGGAGGAACACCGGUGGCGAAGGCGGCAUCCUGGACCGACACUGACGCUGAGGAGCGAAAGCCAGGGGAGCAAACGGG
rnacentral:rRNA from 1 species